UACGUAGGGCGCGAGCGUUGUCCGGAUUUAUUGGGCGUAAAGAGCUCGUAGGCGGCUUGUCGCGUCGUCCGUGAAAACCCACAGCUCAACUGCGGGCUUGCGGUCGAUACGGGCAGGCUAGAGUUCGGUAGGGGAGACUGGAAUUCCUGGUGUAGCGGUGAAAUGCGCAGAUAUCAGGAGGAACACCGGUGGCGAAGGCGGGUCUCUGGGCCGAUACUGACGCUGAGGAGCGAAAGCGUGGGGAGCGAACAGG
rnacentral:rRNA from 1 species